rnacentral:lncRNA from 1 species
CCGCUCGGUCUUUGGGGGAUGGGAUGGGGGAGCACAGGUAGGACGUUGGGAAUGCUAGGUGGACCACGGCAUUGGCCGGGUCCGCAUGCGGGCGGGGCCUGGACGUCGGAUGGGACGGCUCCAGAGCGGUGGAGCGCUUGGAGAGCCCUGAGGAUUUGCCCAUUGCGGAGACGGUGCAGGUGCGCAAGUUUGGACAGGGAGUCUUUGUGGUUGGUGACAGACGGGCGGCCUCGUUGCGGGGGCCAUGGGAGUGUCUCUUGGGCAACCCUGGUGCCCAUGACUGAACCUGCAUGGCACAAUUUUGUUUCCUAGUGUUUG